AAUGUUGCUGUUCAUGCCAAUGGCAGUGUCAGGGAGUUUCCAGGCACUCAGUGUCAGAAUAUUGGCUGCUAUCAGAUCUUAUGAAGUAUGGAAAGCAAACAGGCCUGCUCUGGCACCUGCAAGGUGAAAUUCUUUGAUGAGUGUUGCCAGAUCUGUGAAGGAAAAUAAGAAGAGUCCUAAUGAACCAACAGAUGUUUGCAAACCUGCCUGCUCUGACCAUUCUACUGUCCCAGGUUCAGGACAACGAUAAGGACAUCUCAGAGAUCAAGCCCCUCUUUUCAGUCAGUGUGGAUCAUCAAGUGCCUAGAAUGGACUGUGGAUCUCUGCAGAGAUGCCGGCAGGCUUCUUUGGAUUCCUUUUCUGUUAAAUGGCCAAGAGCAACAAUCAAGCAUAAACCACUUCAGAAAAAACUUUUCAUGUCCAUCUUGUCCUUUCUGCAUUUUCAGCAGGAGAGCAAAGAGUUCCAUGCACUGAACUCCUUACCCAUUGUCCUUUGUUACUUGGCACUGCAGAACUGUAAUUGCUACCAGCAGUCAGCUUUGGAAAAGGGAGGAGGACAAGAGAAGAUUGUUUUAGCGGGAGGGGAGGGGAGCAGAUUGCAAAAAGCCAGGAACAUUUUCUUGCACUAG
rnacentral:lncRNA from 1 species